GUCUUGAAAAACCAACAGCCAAACAAACAAAAAUGCACAGAAAAAAUUAGUAUGGCUCCUGCACAAGGAUGACACACAAAUUCAUUAAGCAUCCCAUAUUUUU